CCCCCGUUCUUGUGCUUUUUGAAUGUGAGAGAGAGAGAGAGAGAGACGAUGGGAUGAUCGAGGGUUUUGCUCCGGCGAGUCGGCAAACGGGAGGUGAUGUUUGGAGCUCUUCCAAUGGAUCUGCGGGUCGUCUCGUUGUCAUGGUCUUUGGGAUUCUUGGAAGUCCGGCUGACUGGAAAUUUGGGGCCUAAUCAAUUUGUUACAGAGCUUCCUGAGAGUACACUGUUAUUCACUGGGCACUUCCUUACUGACAACAAUGAAGGGCAACCUCCAUUAUUAUGCCUGUGCAUAGUUUAACAAUUGUGGUGAUCUUUAUUUUAUGUUUGCAUUGUGAACUUUCCAAGGAUGGGUAGCAUAUACAAAUGUUGGCUAUGAUGGUAGGCAAUAGAUCCAGAGCCCAUCUGUUUGCCGAAGUUUGAUAACUGCAACGGUCUAGUGGAAGAAUGUUCCAUGAGAAAGGGUGGUAUUUGCUUUGCUGCUUAUUCAGUAUCUCAAUGCCAUGGGCUCGCUAUGGCUCACCAGGCACACAAGGCCCUAUAUCACCUCCGGAAAUAAAACCUAAUGCCACGCCGCAGAUUCAUGAUCCAAUGAUGUACUUCAUUAAUUUUUGUUUUUAUUAUUUAUUUUUAUUUUUAUUUUUAAAACCAUCCAAGAUAAAGAAAGCCCUCCGAGAGGAAAAACAAAGCCUAAUCACGGCCUGCACGGUGACGCAACCUGGCUAAUAGAUGAUCAAUUACAACCCAGUAUGUAUAUUUACGUAAAGACCCGUAAGACAAUCAAAAGGAAUGACCCGAAAAGCCUACUGUCCGCUUCCCAUUCACAGCCCGUUGAAAAGGUCAGAUAGCCGGCUAUGGGCCAGCACUAAGGGCCCAACAAAAACCCACUGGAAUCCCAACUGAAAUCCCCAUUAACCACCAGCCACAGUUCCUAGUACAGGCCAACAAUAUCCCAUGUAUAAGCACAGAACAGCCUGUCGUGGUUUAAUUGAAAGCCCGAUAGCGGCCUUACGACCAAACCCAGUAAGAGCCCAUAUGCAACCCAACAAAACCCAGUCAGGCAAAUGAUGGCCAUUGCAUGUCAAGAAGGUCCAACAGCUCAUGUAUAAUCUCAGAGCAGGCUGUGGCGGUCCGAUUGAAAGCCCAAUAGCAGUCCAAUAAAAGGCCUUUCGCACCAACAAGAGCCCAUGAACGGCCCAACAAAAUUUACGGCCGGCAAGGAACAUGCUUGGCCCAUCCGAAAGGGCAAUUACGGCCACCUGGAGCCCAUUAACAGCUCAUCUGUAAGCCCAAUAACAGCCAAUGAACGGCCCAUCGGCGAGCCCAUUAACGGCCCACUAAGAGCCCAAAUAACAGCCCAUGAAAAGCACAAUACCGACCCAAUAACAGCCCACUAAGAGCCCCCAUAACGGCCCACUAAGAUCCCAUUAACGGCUGUGAGUCCAAUAACGGCCUACUAACGGCUCGAAUGCAGGCCCAUUAAUGUCCCGAAUGCGGGUCCACUACCGGCCCAACAGAGCUCAUAGAGCUCAAGAAAGCCCAGCAAGAGCCCAUAUACAGUGCAACAAAACUCGGCCAUGGCCCAACAAUGGCCAUUGCAGCUAACGAAACCCAGAGCGGCCCAACUUUAGUAUGGCAAAAAAAAA